rnacentral:rRNA from 1 species
AACGAACGCUGGCGGCAUGCCUAACACAUGCAAGUCGAACGAGACCUUCGGGUCUAGUGGCGCACGGGUGCGUAACACGUGGGAAUCUGCCCUUUGCUUCGGAAUAUCAGUUAGAAAUGACUGCUAAUACCGGAUGAUGUCGAAAGACCAAAGAUUUAUCGGCAAAGGAUGAGCCCGCGUAGGAUUAGGUAGUUGGUGGGGUAAAGGCCUACCAAGCCGACGAUCCUUAGCUGGUCUGAGAGGAUGAUCAGCCACACUGGGACUGAGACACGGCCCAGACUCCUACGGGAGGCAGCAGUGGGGAAUAUUGGACAAUGGGCGAAAGCCUGAUCCAGCAAUGCCGCGUGAGUGAUGAAGGCCUUAGGGUUGUAAAGCUCUUUUACCAGGGAUGAUAAUGACAGUACCUGGAGAAUAAGCUCCGGCUAACUCCGUG